CACACACACAGUCCCGGGAUCAAGUCCCCACCAGCCCGACACUGGCAGAACCACCCCAGCAUCAGACAUACGCAUUCGAGAAUCACACUCUAUGCGGGCUGCGUCUCUCUGUGUUGGCCACGAAGCAGGAAUGUCGCCGAAGCCCGGGAAAGGCUUGCACGAAUCAGGGCAGUGGUGGCCGUCCUGACUGCAGUCUCUGAAACCCUGCAGCCUCCCUUACAUGCCUAUGUCAAAAAGCAAACGUUUCAAAUGCCUUGGCGAGCCGAGGCCACGCAAAAAAGGAGGCAGGCAGGGAACGCUUCUCGAAGUUUGGGAAAGCAUUUCGAGUAUGUGGUGCCCGAAGGCUUCCUCUGGUGGCACUGGUCCCCUGUGCCCCGCUCACCUGGAGGCUGCUCCCCCCUCACCCUGGCCCUGGCUGCACCCAGGGCAUAGAACCUCGGGUCUCCACUUCUCCACGUCCACCGCGCCCUGAGAGUCAGGAGCGUCCCGCCUGGGACGACACAGGCACACGUUCCCUGAGGCGCGAGGCACAGGUGCUGAGACCCCCAGCGCAUUCCGGAGAAAGUCAGUUCUCCCUGUUAAUUAAUGGGUCUCUUCUCAGGUCUCUCUUUGCACUCACCUCAGGUUUAUGGUUAUCAGUGAAUUCCUGGCCAACACCCGCGCGGUGUUCUGGAUUCGGAGUGGGUUUGAGGAGGGAGAAGGCAAGAACUCAGGCACUGGGGUUAGUUUCCACAGGGGACGUGGGGGUGUUCUGGGGACUCCGUGCUCUCUGCUUUGAAUGCAGCUUACAAGCCUCUCCCAGGCCCAAAGGCGACCCCAGGCAAUCUUGGGGUAAAAGAGAGGAGAUGGGCCCCAAAAGAUUUAGGAGCCAGGCACCAGAGUUCACAGGACCCCAGGACAUUUGCUCCUCCCUCUCACUUCUGAUCUUCAUUUCUUACCAGCCAGAUAGGAGAGUGGGGAUAAGUGAGGGCCCGCUGCAGGAGCCUGACUACGCCCGAAAGGAAGGUGCCAGGCUGCCCCAAACGCCCUUACACCCACCUGGUCAUUUUACACGUAAGAAGACUGACGCCAGCCAGGAGAAGUGGUUUGUUCACCUGGCAUCAUGUGGUCGUGG
rnacentral:lncRNA from 1 species